AACGAACGCUGGCGGCAGGCUUAACACAUGCAAGUCGGGCGCCCCGCAAGGGGAGCGGCAGACGGGUGAGUAACGCGUGGGAACGUACCCUUUGCUACGGAAUAGCUCCGGGAAACUGGAAUUAAUACCGUAUGUGCCCUACGGGGGAAAGAUUUAUCGGCAAAGGAUCGGCCCGCGUUGGAUUAGCUAGUUGGUGGGGUAAUGGCCUACCAAGGCGACGAUCCAUAGCUGGUCUGAGAGGAUGAUCAGCCACAUUGGGACUGAGACACGGCCCAAACUCCUACGGGAGGCAGCAGUGGGGAAUAUUGGACAAUGGGCGCAAGCCUGAUCCAGCCAUGCCGCGUGAGUGAUGAAGGCCUUAGGGUUGUAAAGCUCUUCCACCGGAGAAGAUAAUGACGGUAUCCGGAGAAGAAGCCCCGGCUAACUUCGUGCCAGCCGCCGCCGUAAUAC
rnacentral:rRNA from 1 species